AUAAGUUAAUGAUUUUUAUUUUCAGUUUCUCACUCCUCAAAUGCUUUAAGCCAGUUUCCUUUAAGACUUUAUGGAUAUUUUCUGUGUUUAAUUUUCUUCUUUUUUCUUUAUGAGUUUGUUUAAUAACCUAGAGCUUGACUUAAAUUGUGUCAAGUCCCUUCUAAAAUUGCAUUCAUGUCUUUUUAUGUUCAAGUUGUCGUUGAUUGCACUUACCUGCAUAUGUUUGUGUAAAUCAGUUGCCCAUCUAAUCUUGUUGAGCCUUUGAGUUGUACAAUGUUUAGGUUUUUGAAUCAAUAUUGCAUAUUCACAACUCAUUUAUGGAAUUUAAGGAACUGCAUCUCUUUCAUUCUCAUUUGGUAACAGUGUCUGGACUGAUUAUUCACUUUGGGCAUGCUAUUCAUUUAAUGGA
rnacentral:misc_RNA from 1 species